rnacentral:rRNA from 1 species
UGGGAACGCGAAGAACCUUACCUAGACUUGACAUCCCCUGAAUUACCUGUAAUGAGGGAAGUCCCUUCGGGGACAGGGAGACAGGUGGUGCAUGGUUGUCGUCAGCUCGUAUCGUGAGAUGUUGGGUUAAGUCCCGCAACGAGCGCAACCCUUAUCAUUAGUUGCUACCAUUAAGUUGAGCACUCUAAUGAGACUGCCCGGGUUAACCGGGAGGAAGGUGGGGAUGACGUCAAAUCAUCAUGCCCCUUAUGUCUAGGGCCACACACGUGCUACAAUGGUGAGUACAACGAGAUGCGAACCCGCGAGGGGGAGCUAAACUCAAAAACUCAUCUCAGUUCGGAUUGCAGGCUGCAACUCGCCUGCAUGAAGCUGGAGUUGCUAGUAAUCGCGAAUCAGAAUGUCGCGGUGAAUACGUUCCCGGGUCUUGUACACACCAAGUCUUGUACACACCGGGUCUUGUACACACC